CGAGCGAAUURAUAGGAGCUUGCUCCUUGAGAUUAGSGGSGGACGGGUGAGUAACACGUGGGCAACCUGCCCUGCAGAUGGGGAUAACUCCGGGAAACCGGGGCUAAUACCGAAUAAUCAGUUCCUUCGCAUGAAGGAACUCUGAAAGACGGUUUCGGCUGUCACUGCAGGAUGGGCCCGCGGCGCAUUAGCUAGUUGGUGGGGUAAUGGCCUACCAAGGCAACGAUGCGUAGCGACCUGAGAGGGUGAUCGGCCACACUGGGACUGAGACACGGCCCAGACUCCUACGGGAGGCAGCAGUAGGGAAUCUUCCACAAUGGACGAAAGUCUGAUGGAGCAAUGCCGCGUGAGUGAAGAAGGUUUUCGGAUCGUAAAGCUCUGUUGCGAGGGAAGAACACGUACGGGAGUAACUGCCCGUACCUUGACGGUACCUCGUCAGAAAGCCACGGCUAACUACGUGCCAGCAGCCGCGGUAAUACGUAGGUGGCAAGCGUUGUCCGGAAUUAUUGGGCGUAAAGC
rnacentral:rRNA from 1 species